rnacentral:SRP_RNA from 1 species
GCUGGCCAUGUUGGUGCACACCUAUAAUCCUAGCUCCCAGGAGGCUGACACUGGUGGAUCUAUUCUGCUCGGGAUUCUUAGCUGCAGUGGUCUGUGUCAAUGGGGUGUCCACACUAAGUUCAGUAUUAAUAUGGAAAGUCCCAGGUGAGUGGGGUCGUAUAGCCAGCAAGUUGCUUAAGGAGAGGUGAACUGACCUAGUUCAGAAACAGAGCAGGUCAAAGCUCCCAUGCUUAUCACAGUGAGACCCACCUCCUGAGCCACUUCCAGUGUGAGUGAGAUAGAUAACCCAGUCUUA